GUGUGUGUGUGUGUGUGCGUGCGUUCCUCGGGGCCCGAGCCGUGCCGGUUCCAAUUCCAGUUCCACACACACGUUCUUAUAAUUCCCUACUCUGUCGCUCCAAAUGUACUGGUGCCUUUAUCAUCAGCUAAAACAAAUGGCUUUGCACCUCCACAACAGGGAAAACACACACACACACACGCGCAGUGCAGAUCAGUCUUGUGAGGACCAACCUGUGACUGACAUUAAAUGACUUUACUUUAACCCAAACUACUUUAAUUGCUUCAACCCGGCUUUGCUCUUAACCUCAUUCUAGCCGACACACCUCGUGUUGCUCGUGUGUGACGCAGCAAAAAGUCCAAAACAAUCUCACUCGAAUCCCUCUAAAGUCGGGCCUCACAAGGACAGAACUACUACAGCGCGCACACACACACACGUCCGCACACAGGCUGGGCCCAACAUAAUCAGAAUAAAUGUCCCCCACUGCAGCGGGAAUAAAGGUGUGUGAAAGGGAGAAGGAGGCACGGGCGGAGGAGAAGCGAGACAUUUGGAAGCGACACAAGCGAGAAAAGCCGCCCGUGAGGACUAGAGUAUCAGAGAGUAGGAAAACCAUAAUGUAAUAUUGAUUCAUCCAUUGAUUCCCCCGCUCAACAACCCAGCCGAGAAAGAAUAAGUCUCUUUCCCUUCCCCCCCAGACGACAAAUGAACAGCAACUUUCUCCAUCGGGCCAACGCGGCGUUGAUCGCCAGCCGUCAACAAUCUAAGACAUUCUUCCACCUGUCGCAGCACGAGGGUUCUGCAACUUCGGCCUUACGUAAUUUCUUUUCCAGGGCAUUUUAUUUAUUUAGUUGGUUUGUUUGCAAAGAGUAGAGUGUGUGUGUAGCAUUUACGUACUGCAGUGAAAAGAGGUGAGAGGGACGGAGGGGAGGCAGCGCGGCGGGUUGAUCCAUGUCAUUUGUGUCAUAGCAAGCGCACAAUUAGAGAAGAGGGUGCUCACGAGGAGGCGUCAGGCUGCAGAGGAGGAGAGAUGGGAAGGGAGCGCUUGCUUCUGUGUGUGUGUGACAGUGACUGUAAUUGCUCUUCACCUCUACUUCCAAAGCUUUUAGCUCGGUCAGCACGCAGCCAAUCAGAAGGCCCGCUCAAAGGCGCCAGUCAGAGAGCAGAGAGGAGGCAGCCGAGGACUGUCUCCCAACUAACUGGAUUACCUUCACCCUCGCUCUGCGCUAAACGCUGGGCUGCGAAACCCAAAUAAGCGAAAUGAAGUGGCAGAAACGGCCACUUCCUGAGGUUCUGUUUCACCGUCCCGAGACGCUGAUUGGAUUCAUGGCCGAUUUGCUUCUUCUCUCGUUUUUUUUGUUGUUGUUGUUGUUGGUACUCCUCUCCCCUCCUCGUCCUCCGCCUCUUUUUCGCAGAACUCAUUUCGUUUCCAUUGAUAAGUGUGUUUCUCAAUUUGGGGAAUAAAGAAUAAGUGUCUGCUAUCUGGACGCAGCUGCAAAUGAGUCAGCUACAGAGCUGGAAUAAAUGUGUUUGCAAUUACAGAGGAGAAGGAGAGAAAAAAAGCUUCAGCUGUCAGCGAGAUGUGCGCGCGCCUCAUUUCCCUCUUUGUUGUUCCCACAAACUCAGAAACGUUUCGCUCUGUAUCACUGUCA
ensembl:lncRNA